GCAUGUGAUCAGGUUGGCUAUAAUUAAAGGAAAUUACUUAUAAGUCUUUCUAAAGAUUGAGCUUUGAUAUUAAAUUAUACUAAUACAAAACUAAAAUUUUGGUUCCCUAUGUUAGAAUAAAGCAAGUUUUUCAUCAACUAUCAAUUUGCUUUUAGUAAAAUUCAGAGGUUCUGAAUUUUUAAUUCUGAAAUCUGUAUCUUUUAAAACUUCUCAGACUUAUAUCUCGGAAGUUCAACUUUUACUGUACCUUGCUGCAUGUGAUUUGCAGGUCACAUGUGAUUGCCUUCUGUUUUUUAAUCCCUGGGAAAGGUACAUCUUUUUGCUUGGCUGGGAUGGUAACUCUGUCCUUCAAUGUUUUUAUCAAUUCCUGUAACUUUUGUUCUGGUUCUAACACUGAUGUUGUGGCCUGACACUGAAAUGUUUUAUCUUGAAGGUGUAGAAAAGCAAUGUUUUCCUUCAGUAUAACUUGAUUCUGUACUCUUGGGUUUUCUUUAUAGGUCUGCAUUGUUCAGUAUAACCAGGAAACAUCCAUGUUGUUACUAAGAGUCCCUACUUUGUGUCCCUACACAAGAUACCAGGUCUCCCUAUGUUGCCCAAUCUGGCCUUGAACUUCUGGCCUCAAGCAAUCAUUCUGCCUUGACCUCUCAAUGUGCUGGGACUAAAGGAGAAGAAUGAAGACUUGAUUGAGGACCCAAAGGAUGACCAAGAAGAGGUACAGGAGAAAACCCAGAAUUCUGCAGGGUCUUGGCGAUGCAAGUGUCAGAGCCAUUUGAACCAGAGCUACUCCAUCUUGAGUGAGGGCUAAGAAAACUGAGGCUGGGACUUGCUGGGCUGCAUUCCCAGGAGGGUAAGUAUUCCUAGCCUCUAGGUUAACGGAACAGAUUAAUAACGUUUACUAACAGACCCAGACUCAGGAAUGUCCUGAUAUCCUGAUGUCUUAAAAACAAAAGCACUCCUAAUUUUGCUUUAAAGAUAAAUAUCGAUCCUUGCAAAAUAUAGUAAUUAAGAAAACUAAUUGUUUAAAUCACAAACCUUUGUAGUAGAGCAAAUCUCCCCAUUUUUUUGUUAUCCUAUAUAUAAAUAAGCAUUGUACCUAGGGGUAGGCGCGUUCCUCCUCUUACUUUCAGGAACGCCCUACUCUGUCUAUAGAGUAGCUAUUCCUUCACCACUUUACUUCCUUAAUAAAUUUGCUUUUGCUUUGCACUGUGGACUUGCCCCAAAUUCUUUCUUCGGUGAGAUCCAAGAACCCUCUCUUGGGGUCUGGAUCAGGAGCUCUUUCUGGUAACAUAAGAAAAGAAAGAGAAAUUCAUGAAGGAGAGGGUGGUCUACUGUGUGAAAUGCCAAUGAGAGAUUAAG
rnacentral:lncRNA from 10 species